UCUAAAGUGGUGAUUUCCUUAUAACGGCCCCAGUCUGAACUGUCAUGACUGAUUGGUACUUCUCUGAUUUAAA